rfam:Glomerella graminicola M1.001 genomic scaffold supercont1.22, whole genome shotgun sequence.
GGUGGGAUGGCCGAGUGGUCCAAGGCGGCAGAUUUAAGCUUACGUAAGCUCUGCUACUCGUGAGAGUGCGCGGGUUCGAACCCCGCUCCCAUCA